rnacentral:ncRNA from 1 species
ACAGUACAAGCUGAUCAGGCUGCAUACGCGGCCGGGCCUUACGGCAGCAGAUAAUCUUACAUCUGCGGGACAG